GCAGAUGGGGUUGGAUGUUUCCUCCGUAAUCUCCCUGGCCACACUGGAGUCACCCCAGACUGCCCACUUUAGGAAUCUAGUGGGACUAUUUAACUAAAAUCAGGCUUGUCACUGUGCCUACCUUUUCCCCAGCUCAGGACUGGAUUUUCCUGUUUUCUGAGAGUGUCUGUGAGUAAGCCUGGUAAAAGUGUAAGCUUUCCCCACCUCGGAGCCUACUGCAUCAGAAACUGAACACAGAGCCCAGCCAUCUGCCGGAACAUGGCCUCCCAAUGGAUGAUGCAGAGCAAGACAGAAGUUUGAGAAACAUGAGUUAGAGACGCCUGAAGGAGUACCACGGAUCUGCAGAACACAGAACGCUGUGAUGGGAGAAAGAGCAGGCAGGGGGAAGGGACUAAAAGUCAGAAAGAGGUUCAACGCCAUGAAAAGCGAUGAGUUUCUACUCCAUACAAAGUCCCUACUGAGCCAGAAUGUGAGUCAGGAUUGUGACAGGUCAAAGCAGCUGGGAUUCCUGCCUAUCCCCAAGACUUAAGGAGCCUCUUAGCCAGCAAAGGCAAAGAGCAAGCUCUGAUGUGAAUCAGCCUCAGAAAUGGGACGAAGGGGAGUCACUUUGCUGAGAUCCACCUGCAGGUCUCAGUGUGGCUCAUUUUUUUCGCUUUUCACUCCAUUCUUGGUCGAUCAGUUUGUUUGCUGACCGUCAGAUGGUUUGCUGAUGUCCUCAUCGGUUAAUGUGGCCUUAAUCAGAAAGAGGGGUCACUGCAAAGAUAGUUGAGAGCAAUACCAGAUGAGGUCAUCCUGGAUCGUGCAGGUGAACCCUAUAUAGAAUGGCAAUCAUCCUUCUAAACAGACAGGAGGCAGCAGCUGAGACUGGAGUUACAUGGCCACAGUCCACAGAGAACACAGACCCACCAGAAAUCAGAAGAGGCCACGAAGAAGUCUUCCUUUGAACCUUCGGGGAAGCCAUGGCCCCGUUGCUGUCUUUGAGCUUGGACUUUUGACCUGUAGAACUAGGAAAGAAUAAAUUUUCAUUGCUUUCAGCCACCAAAUUUGAGGCCAUUUGUUAGGGAAGCUCUAGGAAAUGAAUACACUUGACUUGCGUGGAAAGGCCAAGGGAUUAGGAGUUCAGCUGCACAAAGUCUUAAACUGUUUGAAUUUUAUUUCUUGGAUGAAUUGCAGACUCUGAGUCACAAGAGUCCCCAUCUGGCUUGAAUCACUUAUUGCUUUAUCAGCCUUCUGAACCUUGCGGUUUGGUCCUCUGGGUGAGAUGAUUCCCUAGGUCAUCUCCAUCUUUGCCGUCCUAGCGUUCUGAUAAAGAUGAGACUGGCAUCUUCGUCCAAAUCUUUGGGGGCGUCUUUGGAGCUGACGCAAUCUAUCACCCUUUAACAGGGUAUCCUUUAAGCAUUUACCAAGGAGGAUGGAGAAAAUUCCCUUCUGAGGUGCAGCAUGAUGCUGUCUUUAGAGCUGUGCACUCCAGUGUUGCAUUUUUUUUCUCUCCCUUAAACAGAGAAAUGAAAGUAAUGGAAUGCUG